GAUGAACGCUGGCGGCGUGCCUAAUACAUGCAAGUCGAGCGAACAGACGAGGAGCUUGCUCCUCUGACGUUAGCGGCGGACGGGUGAGUAACACGUGGAGAACCUACCUAUAAGACUGGGAUAACUUCGGGAAACCGGAGCUAAUACAGGAUAAUAUAUUAAACCGCAUGGUUCCAUAGUGAAAGACGGUUUUGCUGUCACUAAUAGAUGGAUCCGCGCCGCAUUAGCUAGUUGGUAAGGUAACGGCUUACCAAGGCAACGAUGCGUAGCCGACCUGAGAGGGUGAUCGGCCACACUGGAACUGAGACACGGUCCAGACUCCUACGGGAGGCAGCAGUAGGGAAUCUUCCGCAAUGGGCGAAAGCUUGACGGAGCAACGCCGCGUGAGUGAUGAAGGUCUUCGGAUCGUAAAACUCUGUUAUUAGGGAAGAACAAAUGUGUAAGUAACUAUGCACGUCUUGACGGUACCUAAUCAGAAAGCCACGGCUAACUACGUG
rnacentral:rRNA from 1 species